GACGAACCGUGCGAACGUUAUUCGGAAUCACUGGGCUUAAAGCGCGUGUAGGCGGGAGGGCACGUCCGUUGCUGAAAUCCCCCGACUCAACCGGGGAACGGGCGCGGAUACGACUCUCCUCGAGGGGCGUAGGGGGACCUGGAACUUCCGGUGGAGCGGUGAAAUGCGUUGAGAUCGGAAGGAACGCCCGUGGCGAAAGCGACGUGCUGGACCUCUUCUGACGCUGAGGCGCGAAAGCUAGGGGAGCAAACGGG
rnacentral:rRNA from 1 species